rnacentral:rRNA from 1 species
CCCUUAGAUGUUCGGGGCCGCACGCGCGCUACACUGAAGGAAUCAGCGCGUCUUUCUCCUUGUCCGAAGGGACUGGGUAACCCGCUGAACCUCCUUCGUGCUAGGGAUUGGGGCUUGUAAUUCUUCCCCAUGAACGAGGAAUUCCCAGUAAGCGCGAGUCAUAAGCUCGCGUUGAUUACGUCCCUGCCCUUUGUACACACCGCCCGUCGCUACUACCGAUUGGAUGGUUUAGUGAGAUCCUCGGAUUGGUCCCGGCGCGGCCUCUGGUCGUGCCGGAGUGCCGAAAAGAAUGUCGAACUUGAUCAUCUAGAGGAAGUAAAAGUCGUAACA